rnacentral:rRNA from 1 species
AGAGUUUGAUCCUGGCUCAGAAUCAACGCUGGCGGCGUGCCUCAGACAUGCAAGUCGAACGCGAAAGCUCCCUUCGGGGAGCAAGUAGAGUGGCGCACGGGUGAGUAACACGUAGGUAAUCUACCUUCGGAUGGGGAAUAACAACCGGAAACGGUUGCUAAUACCGCAUAAUGCAGCGGCACCUAAUGGUGACAGUUGUUAAAGCGGGGGAUCGUAAGACCUCGCGUCUGAAGAGGAGCCUGCGGCAGAUUAGCUAGUUGGUAAGGUAACGGCUUACCAAGGCGAUGAUCUGUAGCCGGCCUGAGAGGGCGGUCGGCCACACUGACACUGACAUACGGGUCAGACUCCUACGGGAGGCAGCAGUCGGGAAUUUUGGGCAAUGGGCGAAAGCCUGACCCAGCAACGCCGCGUGAAGGAUGAAAUCCCUCGGGAUGUAAACUUCGCAAGAACGGGAAGAAUAAGUGAGAGUUAAUAUCUCUCGCGAUGACGGUACCGUUUGUAAGCUCCGGCUAACUCCGUGCCAGCAGCGGCGGUAAUAC